CCAAGGAGCUGUUGCAGCCACAAGAUGACAGAAACUCCAUCAUCCUGGUCUUUGAAUAAGAUGGCCUUCCCAUCUGCAAUGGGAGGCUCACACAUUCUGCGUAUCUGUUUACUCUCUGCAUUACAAGUUCCAAACCUCAUGGAGACUCAAAGCCACCACUCAUCAUUCUCAGACUGCUUACAUGGAAUUUGACUUCCUAGCUCAGCUCUAAGAGUAAAGAAUCAGGACUUUAGAGCAGAGACAGUGCCUUGAAGGCAGAUGCAGGUUGUCAUUCUACAAGCAAGCACCGCAGGGAGGCGCGUCACAGAGGCUCUGAUGUGGGAGCUGUGCGCUGAGUGGUCACCUAUCCUGCGCCUGUUGAGCCGUCAUCUCCGUCAUUCUGGGACUAUUUUCUUUAGUCUCCAGUGAUAUUCUUUGUAGCUUUUGUGAGUUCUGGACUUGCCCCAUAGAUUCACACUUGCCAGGGUCUAGAAAUGUCAUCACAGAAUUGCCCAAAACAGUGAACAUCUGAAAUUUUUUUGUUAAAUAAAGUCUCUGUGCAUAGACGUCACUUCACCAUUAUCAUUAUUCUCCA